rnacentral:rRNA from 1 species
UACAGAAGUGGCAAGCGUUGUUCGGAAUUACUGGGCGUAAAGGGCUCGUAGGUGGCCAACUAAGUCAGACGUGAAAUCCCUCGGCUUAACCGGGGAACUGCGUCUGAUACUGGAUGGCUGGAGUAUGGGAGAGGGAUGCGGAAUUCCAGGUGUAGCGGUGAAAUGCGUAGAUAUCUGGAGGAACACCGGUGGCGAAGGCGGCAUCCUGGACCAUUACUGACGCUGAGGAGCGAAAGCCAGGGGAGCAAACGGG